CCUACGGGUGGCUGCAGUGAGGAAUAUUGGUCAAUGGUCGGGAGACUGAACCAGCCAAGCCGCGUGAGGGAGGAAGGUACAGAGUAUCGUAAACCUCUUUUGUCAGGGAACAAAGACUGGGACGCGUCCCCGGAUGAGUGUACCUGAAGAAAAAGCAUCGGCUAACUCCGUGCCAGCAGCCGCGGUAAUACGGAGGAUGCGAGCGUUAUCCGGAGUUAUUGGGGUUAAAGGGUGCGCAGGCGGUCUGUUCAGUCAGCGGUAAAAGCCUGGGGCUCAACCCCGGACCGCCGUUGAAACUGGCAGUCUCGAGUUGGAGAGAAGUAUGCGGAAUGCGCGGUGUAGCGGUGAAAUGCAUAGAUAUCGCGCAGAACUCCGAUUGCGAAGGCAGCAUGCCGGCUCCACACUGACGCUGAGGCACGAAAGCGUGGGUAUCGAACAGGAUUAGAUACCCGGGUAGUC
rnacentral:rRNA from 1 species